AGUUUUGCAUUCAUGAAUGUUUUGUAUCUUGAAGAGUGCAUGAUCAUUGGAAAGAUUCUUGCAUGGAUCGAGCACUUGAAAAACUGUUUAACACUGUUCGACACUGAUUACACUGAACAUAUUGGAUACACAAGUUUUUUUCUUGAUUUAUUUCAAAAUUGUUUCCAAAAUUAAAAUUUUUUGAAAACGUAUCGAGUUUCUCUGAGGUGAUCAGUUCCUUUAUGAUGGCUUUCCUCUCUCUAUGAUAAAGAAAAAUAAGAUCCAUCCAGAGAGAAAGAGUUAGUAGAUAUAGAGCUUAAUAGAUUUUUAAGAGAUUGCUAUAGAUUUUUUUUUAAUAUAAUUAUUCAAAAUAUCUAACUUAAAAAGGAAAAAAAAAAAAAUUAAAAAUUAAAAUUUUAAAGAAUUUUAAAAAUUAAAAAGUAAAUUCAUUACUAAAAUUCCGUGUGAUAUGUAGAUGAAUAUGUUUAUAGAUUGUUUAAAGAAAAUUAAUAAUAUAGACAACAUAGAAGUAUGAAAAGUAUUAAGUAGUACGAGCUAAUAAAAUUAACAUGAUAAUAUAAGUAUUUUAAGAAAAUUACUUAUAGAUUAGAAAUACAAUCGCAUACUUUGAAGAAUGAAAACCCUCUAUCUUUUUCUCAAAGAUGUAAAAAAAUCAUCCUAACGAUAGAAAGAACAAUAACGUAGAAUCAAUAGAAUAAGAAUGAUAAAAGGAAUUAAUUUAACUCUGAAUAAUAAUAAAUAAAAAAAUAAUCUAAUAUUUCCUUGUACAUCUCCGCGAUACACCAAUGGCCGCUCAAAAAGAUUCGAAAUCAAAUCCGUAUUCUCAAACAAUGCACAGCCACUACUUUUGUUCCCCGAACAAAAACUCAUAAACCAGUUAUCGUCACAGAUACGCGACAAUUUAUGAUAUUUUUCGAGAUAAUGUUCCUCUCCUCGUUCAUUCAAAUUUCAAACGGAAUAUAUUAUCAACUUCUUGUUUAUCCUUUCAACUGUUCUUCCAAACAUACGUAAUGACAAAGCAAUCGCCGCAAGAUUAUCAGAAAAUUGAGCCAUUGGAAAAAUUAAUUUGCCAAUUAAUCGACCGAAACAUGCAUAUCUUAUAUGCACGCACAAAUACCAGCACGCACCGAUCGAUAUCCCAACGCCUAAAUUGAUCGAGGCCUCCCCCUCCCCAAUUAUUCACGAGCACGAGAAACAAGAAAAUUUAUUUUCCACCAGAUAAACAGAAAUCGCAAAGGCUCGUUCGAUCUUGACACUGAAUCAUGCGACACCAAGCUUUGAAAUCACACUGGUACACGCUUUCUGCUCCCGACAUUCUCUUCCGCUUUAUCUUAUCACACCAGCCUCGCCAGAUCAAUUCGAAAUAUUUCUACAUCCAAAAAUCACUCGAACAAUCCCACCCGAUCCCCGUUUAUUUCGCUUCUUCCAUCAACCUUGAGUAACGUAACACCGAGGAUUGUUGUUAAAAACAAACAUGAUAAAAACGUGUCGCGUGUGCAAAUUUACAUUUGCUUGUUUGAGAGUGAGAGAGGGAGAAAGAUAGAUACGAAAGAUACGCAGAGAACAACGUAAUCGAAUGUCUUGUUGUAAAACGUUAAGAAGAGGAAACAGUGUCUGAAUGAUCGAUCGGUUUCGACGUGGACCAAACAAAUCGUCGGAUGAUGUCGAUCGCCAGCUCGAUUCUGAUCGAGAUCCCGUUUCAACUUCGACUCUUGAUGCUUCCCAGAGAGAUUUACGCGCCGAGCUCGCCCGUUCCUCCUCCACUGCUUCACUUUUAUCGUUGUCUGCUAGUUUUCACUUGGGAAUAAUUAACGUCGCGACCGUUUGGAUUUCGAGAUGCGAAUUUGGAAUUCAUGGAUCGGUAAAUCGGUGUAAUGGUAUAUAAAUCUAUUGUCGAUCAGAAUUGAUGGAAAUGAGUUGUCGAGUUUUUGGUGGAAGAUGAAUUGUAAACGUGAUUUUGUAUAAGGGAUUACUUUUAUAACGACGAAAAAAAAGAAAUAUGAGUAUGUAGAAAGUGUAGAGGAAAGCAAACAUUUAUUUAAAUGUUAAAGAAAAAAGUUGUCACCGAAUUUCCAGAUCGAAAGUAAAGCCAUCUAUAAAAAUUCAUUCUGAUUCAUCUCUGAUUGAAAUUUGAGAAAGAUUUUGUUCUACUGAGAAGUGUUAAAAUUAAAAUUAUAAAUUAUAAUAACAAAAAUUCUUUGAAAAUUCGAUAUAAAGCCUGUCCAAUCGAAAUUCGAAUCAUUGUUGAGAUUUUAAAAACCAGAUUCUAAAUCAAAGUACAAAUUUCUCGAAAAUCCUAUAAUAAUUUAAAAUUCGAAACACAGUUUUUAAAAAAUCAAAAUUAAAUACCUGAACCUUACUGAAAUCAUCGAUUCAGAAUUUGAAAUAUUCAAUUUGAAAUAUUCAAUUCAGAUAUCCAAAUUAAAAAACGAUAAAUCUAUGAAUACUAUAAAUACAUACAAACACCAUCAUACAUACAAUACCAAUCAAAAUGAGUUUUCAAACCUGGAUAAACAACAGUUUACGAACAGAAACAACUAUUUUUUAAAAAUUCCAUAAAAUAAUCACCGAAUCGUUAAAAAAAAAAUUCACAUCUCUAAAAUCAAAAUUACAGCAACAAUUUUUCCAAAAAUUUUUCUCGUACACAAUCUACACUCGAUUACUCGAUUGCGUGUACACGACAAAAUAGUUCAACAUGAUGACGAUUGACUGACUACGGAAUCACGAUUAUCAUCGACGAUCCUCGAGUCGAUCGAUCGAGGAUCCAUUGUUAGGCAACGCGAUGUCCCGAGAUAUGUGCCACGUUUUAAUAAAGCUAGACCCAGUUGCAGAAGGCAUGAUGGCCUCGAAUCCACUGACUUUUCGAUACGAGAAGGGGGAUCAUAUGGAUCGGGAUGCUUGAACCCCUCUUUUUCUCGAUCGUCUAGCCAAAUAUUUUGUUUGCUGUUUGCAAUUGCGUCGAUGGAUUACGUGACGCCUGAUUUAUUCGUUUAUUAGAGAGUUUUGAUGAGCAAGAGAAGAAACAUAUUUUUUGGCAAAUAUAUCCUCCAGAUAAAAACAAAAAUCUAUUAGAGAUAAUUCAGAAAAUAUUGUACCCACGAUUAUUGUAUAUUGUAUAUUGUAUAUUGGAUCAUAUUGUAUAUUGAGUUUAGAUGGUAGAUUAUCAUAGUAUAUGUUGGAAAACGACCAGUAUCACACCUGUGGAAGAUUUAAAUGCAAGAGAAGCGAAGGCCUCCUAAAAACUUCUGACUGAUUCGUAAGAAUAUCUUUUAUUGAUGUUGCUCAAACAGAUUUUGCUACCUUUGUUUAAAAGAAAAUCAAAGCACGUUGUUUAUCUUUUGUAUCGCAAAAAAAAUAAAUAAAUCACGUAAUCCUAGCCAGGGAUCCUAGCCAACACUGUGAGCAGGUGAGAUAGAUGAAUUUGGCUAGAGCAAACCUACUUUUAUAAAUUAUUAGUAUACAGUAAUAAAGAAGGAAAAUAUUAGUAUUUGAUCCCUUCAAAUCGAAUAAAAUCCUAUCCAACUGGCCAGUAUUAUGAGUAUACAUAUAAAAAGUUUCUUGGUAGCUUGAAAAUUAAUAUAAGUGUAUGUUUUAAAAAAUAUGUGUAGGCUAAAAAUUAGUAGAAUUAAUUAAAUGAAAUAGAUCAUUAAAACGAGCCUUUUAGUGAAAUUACUUGAAAGACAAAUGUUUAUUUAAUUAUUGAUGGCGAUAUCGAAUAAGUAAAUAGUGAUGAAAAUACAGAUUUAUUAAUAAGAUUCAUUGCGAUGAUGUUUCAGUAACUAGUGUAGGUUCUUUAACUGAGCAAUGUUUUCUAAAUUUUUUUUUUAUCAACAAACUUUUUAUCAAAAAUGUUUUAAAAUCUGAAAUGAAAUGAUUAAGAAGGAAAAGUAAAAGAAAAGAAAAAAAAAAAAUAAUAAAAUUAAAAUUACUUCAAUAGUAUUCAAUAAUUCAUAAUUUGAUCGUAUUUGUCUAAUUGAGAAAACAGAAUGGAAUGUUUAUGAUAGCAAAACAAUAAUAUAGAUAGAAUAAUGAUAGAAAUAGUAGCAUAAGACAAUGUGAAUACGUUCGCAAUUCGAUACUGAACAACACGUUAUGAAACAUUCAAUGGAAUCUCCUUGAAGGUAUUAUUCGAUUUGAAAGGCUAAUACUGCACACUGUUCGAAUGGCGAAUAGCAAUUGCACAUCACGGCCUGGUUAGUUUAGCUUGCAAAAGCUACAAAAAAAAUCCUAAAUGCAAAACGUAUUCGAUUAAGUAUUUUAACACGUAGCGAAGAGAAAAGAAAAAGUUGAUACGAUUUUUUUUAAACUUGAAAUCUUUUAGUCUGCUUUAGUUUUCGAAUCUUUAGUAACGAAAAAGUUCAUAUUUUCAUUUUUUUCUCUUUCAAAAAGUUUACAGAAAAAAAAUAAUAUUCGCACAAAAUAAAAACUAUAUAAUCAAAUAUUAUUAAUAAAGCCAUAGAUCGAUGCAUAACAAUUUUCAUAGAAUUCCAAAAAAAAAAAAACUAAAUUUGCUCAAUUUAAUUUAAUAUAUACAAUUUAACGUCCAACAAAAUUCAUAUCAAAACAAAAUAUACAAAUAAAUUUUUAUCAUUAAUAAUAACUGAAAAUUUUAAAAAACAAAAAUCAACUAUUCGAGAAUUUUUUAUGUUAAAUUUGAAAGAAAAUUAAUUCAAAGGAAGGAGAUUUUAUGCUCGAUAAAAGUCAAAUAAAAUUACCGAAUAUUUAAAAUUUGCGCGUAGCAAAUAUCAAGAUUAUUCGACCAAUUGUUAUUGCAAGUUUACUCAGCGGUCGCGCAAAGCGAUUAUUUAUACAGGGGCGCUUUAAUUUUCUCGACGGAAAUUAUCUUUGCCUGUGAGCUCAUCGUAAAUGCAUUUCUAAUUGUCUCGCUCGUUGCAACUUCAUCGUGGAAUCUAUAUCUUGCAUAUGACGUUUAAAUUUUAUAUACCACACCUCUCCAGAUGCGUAUAUACGGCUGAAGUAACUGUUAUUCACGGGUUCAAAAUAAACUCCCUAUAUUUUAGCAAGCUUUUGCAAAUUUGAAGGAAAUUUG